UGCGUAGGCGGGCUAAUAAGUCAGUGGUGAAAUCUCUCGGCUCAACCGGGAAACUGCCAUUGAUACUGUUAGUCUUGAGUUCGGUUGAGGUAGGCGGAAUGUGUAAUGUAGCGGUGAAAUGCUUAGAUAUUACACAGAACACCAAUUGCGUAGGCAGCUAACUAGACCGACACUGACGCUGAGGCACGAAAGCGUGGGGAGCGAACAGGAUUAGAUACCCUGGUAGUC
rnacentral:rRNA from 1 species